rnacentral:rRNA from 1 species
GUCGAGAAUAAUUCACAAUGGACGAAAGUCUGAUGGUGCAACGCCGCGUGGAGGAUGAAGGUCUUCGGAUUGUAAACUCCUGUCAUCGGGGAGUAAGACCUGGCGGUAAAUAGCCGACAGGGUUGAUAGUACCCGAAGAGGAAGGGACGGCUAACUUCGUGCCAGCAGCCGCGGUAAUACGAAGGUCCCAAGCGUUGUUCGGAAUCACUGGGCGUAAAGGGAGCGUAGGCGGCGUGGUAAGUCAGAUGUGAAAUCCCGGGGCUCAACCCCGGAACUGCAUCCGAUACUGCCAUGCUUGAGGGUUGGAGAGGUAGCUGGAAUUCUCGGUGUAGCAGUGAAAUGCGUGGAUAUCGAGAGGAACACUCGUGGCGAAGGCGAGCUACUGGACAACAUCUGACGCUGAGGCUCGAAGGCCAGGGGAGCAAAAGGGAUUAGAUACCCCAGUAGUCC